rnacentral:RNase_P_RNA from 1 species
AAACAGGUUUGUUUCAUCGCUCUUUAUUUUUAAGGGAGGAAAGUCCGGGCAACGCAGGGUAAUUUGCCACUUGAAAAAGUGGGUAUAUUUUUAGGAAUAAAAAUAUAACAGAUAGUGUCACAGAAAACCAGGUAGCCAUUCGUCAGUUGGCGAAUGGUCAUAGUGAAAAUGUGAGGUAAGAGCUCACAUGUGUAAUUGGUAACAAUCACACAGGACAAACCUCUUAUGUUGUAAGGCCAUGUAAACCCUAAUUUUGCUGCGACUCGUGGCAAUAACCUUGGUUAUAUUAGGGAGGGUAGGCUGCAUAGAUAAAUGAUGGAAGUCGUUUGCCUGUUGGUAAACGAAACAGAACUCGGCUUAUAGAACCUGUUUUUAU